rnacentral:rRNA from 1 species
UACGUAGGCAGCGAGCGUUGUUCGGAAUUACUGGGCGUAAAGAGUGUGUAGGCGGUGCUCCCAGUCUGUCGUGAAAUCUCCCGGCUCAACUGGGAGGGUGCGGCGGAAACUAGAGUGCUCGAGUGUGGGAGAGGUAAGCGGAAUUCCUGGUGUAGAGGUGAAAUGCGUAGAUAUCAGGAGGAACACCUGCGGUGUAGACAGCGUACUGGAACACGACUGACGCUGAGACACGAAAGCGUGGGGAGCAAACAGG